GCGGGUGUGGUGGAAUUGGUAGACACGCCAGAUUUAGGUUCUGGUGACGUGAGUCGUGGGGGUUCAAAUCCCUUCACCCGCACCA
rnacentral:tRNA from 1 species